rnacentral:rRNA from 1 species
UACGAACUGUGCGAACGUUAUUCGGAAUCACUGGGCUUACAGGGUGCGUAGGCGGCUUGUUAAGUAGGGUGUGAAAGCCCCCGGCUCAACCGGGGAAUUGCGCCCUAAACUGGCGAGCUGGAGCGAGAUAGGGGUGUGUGGAACUUCCGGUGGAGCGGUGAAAUGUGUUGAUAUCGGAAGGAACGCCGGGUAGCGAAAGCGACACACUGGGUCUUGACUGACGCUGAGGCACGAAAGCCAGGGGAGCGAACGGG